ensembl:lncRNA
CAGAGAGCUUAUUCAGUAAUAGGGUCUACAGAGGACUGUGUCUCUCACAUGACCAGAAUAGCAUGUGUUGUUUUGUGUGUUUCCCUUAAUCAGUGUGCACUCUGGUGAAUUUCUAGCUGAAGAUGCGAUGCUAAUCAAGUUAUGCAUGAAGGUCAUUUAUUGAACAGCGUUUGUGUGCACAAAUGAAUAUCUAUGAAGGGCAUGCAUUAAAUUUGUAAUAAAACACUGUAUUAAUUAAAGAUCACCAAAUUGUGUCAUAAUUAAGACACGAUUUGACCUAAUUAAUAAUUAAGAUGCUUUUAUAUUUGGGAAAACUCAUUACAGUUCCGGAUUUAUCGAUUUAUUGUCAUCAUCUAGCUUUUAGUGACACUGACACCCAGAUGCAGUGGCACUAUUAUUUGGCACCAUUUCAACCUACACGUACAGGCGAGUGUUGUGCAACACACUGAACAAAUAUCUCAACGGCAUAGAAGGUGCACAGGGUUCCAGGAGAAAUGGACAAGAGUGUUUCUUUUGGGAAUUACAGCAGAAACUCUUUCGCUUAAAGAAUGCAAUAUUAGAAGGUACAUUGAAACCAAUCCUGGUAAAAAGUAGGACCAGUAUAAUGGGCAGUUGCAGACAUACCAGAUAAAAUCAGCCAGGAGAAAGCAAGUCUAUUUUCAGUAAUAGUCAUGGGAUGAUUUGAUGCAGCUGUGAAGACUAAUAAUUAUGAAGAAGAGGUUCUAGCAAACAUUAGCAUUGUGUCUAUUGGUAAAAAGUUACAGUAGUACAAAAUAUUAAUACCCUGCAUUGUCUGUUGUGGUUAUAUGAAUAGAAUAGGUUUAAUCACAUUGAAAGCAAUGUGAUUAAACCUUAUAAAUUCAAUAAAGCAAAUAUCAUUAAUGACAAGUUAUUGGAUGCAUUGAUAUGCGGCCGCUUUGUUGUGAAAUUUUAACCAAUGUGGCAUCCAACCCCAAACGAGUUUGCAGCCUCUACUCUAACACAGUUGACAACACUCAGGUGUGUAAUUGAGCUGAUGAGCUGAAUCAGAUGUGUUAAAGCAGGAAACACAUUAUAGUGUGCAGAGCCAAGGAAACAAAGAGCCACUUACCUCUCUAAACGAAAAUUCUGGACAAGGGGUGUCCAAAUUGAUCCAUUUAUCCAAUGUGGCUGCAGGUUUUUUAUUCUAGCCAAGCAAAAUCCACAGUACAGCUCAUCAGCUUUUUGAAGACCGAGACUAAUUGAUUAAAUAUGUUCAGUCGGAUUCUGAAGCCACAUCAGCUCCCUGCUAAUGAGACUGGACAGCUUUGUUUUAAGCCGUCCAAUGUUUACCGAAUCAUUUGUAUUCACAGAUCACCAUUUAUUUCUUAAAACAUACUAUUCAGUUAUUGUUGCGAUUUAGAUAGUAAUUAGGGAUGAAGAAUGUUUCGUUUAGUUGUCAGCUGUACAGUUACACAUUAUCACGGUGCAGCAGUCAUGAUUUUACACACUUACAGUCUACAUUUCCCGAUAACUGAUUACUCUGCCAAAGCACAUGAUCGCAACUUUCUUUUUCGCAAGGGUCUUCUUCCAGACUGGAAUUUUUCUCAUGUGUUAUGGCUAUAAAUAUGUUUUAUGUAGAAGCCUGGAGUUUUUAGCUCCUUAAAUUUAGUAUCUGUAUGAAUGACAAAUGUUUGUAUCAGUUGGCUUAGUUUUUCAGCAGAUUCGCCAGUGACAAACAAGAGGCUAUAAAUUUACAGUAGCAAAUUAGAUACAGAUCUACUUCUGAAACAACACGGCAGAGGAAAGCACGCAGAUCUCUAUUCACUAGGUUAAGGUUGCCUUGGGCUAAAAAAUGAGCCAUAGCAUAACCAUCUCUAGGAUUCAGGUAAGUGGAUUAGAUUUUUAUUAAAUUUUCAUUGUUGCUUCAAUAUGUGCUUGAGCGGGAGUUAAGGUGAUUUAGGCAGGACAUUAACUAUUAUCAUCAUAAAAAAUGAGGAUUUUAAGUUUGUUGUUCACUUAAAAAUGUACUAAAUUUUACAAAUGGGUAUAAACACUAGUCACUAUGGUGGUACCUUUCUAAGGGUAUGUCUUUUGUUCAUUAACUUUGAUGACCUAGAAGGUGUAGAGUAACUAAUUUAUGGAAUUAUAAUUUAAGUACCACCACUUUACCCUUAAAAGUACAUUUAGUAUAGUUCGUACCGUUUGUAAACUAUACUGUGGUGUUGCUUUCUGUUGUGAAGUUUGCAGCGUCCGUGUCUUGCGUGAACAAAAGUCUGUACUACUGGUUAUUUUGCUUUGUUGUUCUGAGUGGUAAAGAAGCCACGUGGACCAGAUCUGCUGUGAAAAAGAGGAAUACUGAACUGGAGGAGUCAUCCUGACCAAAUGAAUAGACAAAUUAUAUUAUGGGUUAUUAAAUAAAAUGGUUACAUGGUAAAUAAUUGAAAUAAGCAAUGCAGUAAGUAAUUACUGAAGAGUCCAUUAAGAAUCUGCCUAAUAACUCAUUCAAGUCAAUUACACAGAUUAAUUAGAUUUUCCCUAAUAAAUGUGGCAGCCAAUGUGUGUAAACAUAUUCUUCAUCUAUAUGUAUAAAUAGAUGAAUAAUUUAACCUAGUUUAUAAUUUAAUCACACAUAUAUUCCAUCCAUUCAAAAUCAUGAGUCAGAAGAAACUUGUUUUUGAAAAUGUUGCAAUGACGCUGACGUAUUUGUUUCGGUAUGCUGAACUAUGUUGGAAUGGUGCCAUGGCUCUAGCUUUAAGCCAGCUUGUAAAACUGCACGUGUGUGUGUGUGUGUGUGUGUGUGUGUGUGUGUGUGUGUGUGUGUGUGUGUGACAAUAUAAGUCCAGAUGAUGGCAGGUUGACAUAAACUAAUGUGUUUACACUAGAAAGCAACAAAAUGACAGAUGAUCGCAGCAAAUUAUGUCUAUAUAUUCUCAAUUAUAUGGUAAUUAUUUGUGAUGCAGUGCAAAAAUAGCAACAUGAAAUGUGGAAUUCAACAUCCUCUAGUUUUUACUUACAGCUGCCAAGAAUGCAUAAAUCCAUGAAAUGUAUAAAAGACUAAGUAAAGUACAAUAGGGAAAUUUGACACUUGGAUUUGAAGUCUAAGAGCAGCUGCAGAAGGGACUUCAGUGUGUAUGUACAAUAUUAGUUCCAAACACUUUCUAAAGAAAAGCUAAAUGAUGUGAUAUGUAGAAAUUGUCUAUGAAUACACUGUGGCCAAAAGUAUGUGGACACCCGACCAUAACACCCAUAUGUGGUUCUUCCCCCACAAAGUUGGAUGCACACAAUUGUAUAGGAUGUCUUUGUAUGC